AAAAAACACUUUAAAAUGGUCACCCGCUCCCAUUUACGUCUCACUUGAAGUCCUAAUCUUCUAUUUGCGACAUUAGAAUCCUCUCCAGUGGCAACUAAUUGUGGUGUCACAAACAAAGGAUUAUAACUACUUGAGGAAUAAGCAGUGGAGAGGAAAGGUCCUGUCUCCAUGUCAGUGUUUCUGGCAAAUCUGUUCUUCAAGACACAAAAUACAGCAUCCAUCUGAUUCUCACAUGCGAUAGUAACAAUAAGGCCUAACAUCUCUUGAGUCUCUGGGCCCCCCUUGCGUUACCAGUAGGAUGUGAGAAGUGGACACACCGUCCUGGCCUGAGCCCUAAGACCACAGCUUGUUACAUCCGACCCCCUGGUUUGUCUUCAUCGGGACUCUCAGUUACAAAUGACAGAAACAUCAUUAAAACUCCUUUAUGCGUUUGGAAAAGGAGGAGAGUUACUGGCUCAAGUAAGUAAAUAGGAGGGACCUAUUGGGGUGCAAGGCCUGAAUGGGGUCACGGGUGCUCACUAGUUCUCUGUCCUGCUUUCCCCUGGAAGGCCCUCCGUUGCGACCACAGGGAGAUACCUCCUGCCUCCUGAGGCACGGACCCUCUCCUCUCCGGGUACCCAGAGUACAACGAGAAUCUCUCCCUGGCAGUUUAUGGUGUUUGCUGAACCAGCCACAGCGGGCAGGUGGCACGAUGGUCACAUUCCCACAGCUGCAGGCAGCUCCACCCAAGCCACGGGGACGGAUCCCCGUGUUUUCAGUCUCCGCCUUGAGAGUGUGAUCCCUGCAGACCUCAAACAACGGAGGACCAAAUGACGAUGACCAUCACUCUGCGCUUCGCUAUGUCGCUUGGGGAUUUGGUCACUUUAGAGAUCUGCUUCACGAUUUCCGUUGGAAUCAGGGGGUUCAGGGAGGUCAGGCCACUCACUGGAUUUUGGUUUAUCAUCUCAGAGGCCUCAUAGUAUGAUUGAUGAAGGGGCUUAUGCUUGGGACUCAGGCGACCGAGGUCUUACUUUGGGCCCCACUGCAGACUUGCUGGGUGACCUUGGGAAAAUGAUUUAAUGUCUCCGAGUCUCGUUUUCCCGACCAUCAAAUUGGAGGCCCCAGGCUUACCAACCUACGAGCACUCCCCUAGCCAGCUGAGGAAGGCGCUACAGCUGAAAUUAAUUCCACGAAAUUUUGGAACUAGGCCCCAAAUAAGUAGCAAGCGCUACUUUGCAGGGGGGAGGCUGGAGAGAACUCCGCGUGUGGAAUAACAGCUCACCGCUGACCUCAGCCAUGCUCCAUGAGGACAAAGUAGGGGGUAGGGCUGUGUCAUCUGAGUCUUGAUAUAAAAGUUAAUUAAAAAUGUAUGCCCAGGCUGAAGGAGGACACCUAGUGAAUUAGUGAUGGCCCUCGGAUGUCUACCUUUCAGGGGUGACAGCAUCCGUACAGAAGGCCGGAGGUGGCCCUGGAGGGAGGCCCUGCGAGGAGCCAGGUAACCGAGAGCCCAGCUCGGAAGGUCCUCGUCACCUGGUUUUGGGUGUAGCCAUUGGGUGUAGCCACGGUGCAGAAGGAGGCUGCCUUUGAGUAUUAGGUUAACGUGACUCAUUUAGCAGGAGUCGUGGGGCAAACGCUGUGCCUCCCGCAGCACCGGGGCACGCGCGGGCCCACCCCGCCGCCUUCUGCGGCCCAACCUGCUGGCUGCAGCGAACCCAGCACCACUGGAGUCGAAAAGAGGGGCCCCGUCGCAGGAGUGGGGACCCUACGGAGAUGACAGAGUGGCCUGGCCGCCUGCCGGGAGCCCGUGACCUCUGAGGUCGAGCAGGCCCCCAACCUCUCCCUGGCACACUGAGGCCUAGCCCAGCUGCUGUCAAAUGCUUCUCCUGUCCUGAGUCCUCGUGGGAGUCUCUCUACUGGAUCCUCACCGCCUAAGAACUUGAAACCCACCAGAGCUGGAGGGAACCCUCCUGCUUUUCAUAGGAAGGGUGGUAGGAGAGCCAAGAAACCCUCCAGGGAGCACUCAGGAGAGGGGCCUCCUCCUGUCGGCGGGCACCGAGCCGUGGGCCCUGGACUGCAUGCCCUGCCCGUAAAGGGAAGGCCCGGGGCAGGGGCGCUGGGAAGCUACCCAGGCCCUCCCUGGCUCCUCGCGUCCCGGGCAAACGCACAAUCUCCGGUCUUAGGCACAGGGAAAGUCAGCCCCCAGCAGUGGUGAGGAGGAGACAGCUCAGAGAACGAUCCAGUGUGAGGAGAGCAAGAUGAGGAAUGCCAGGUGGCCCCAGGCUCGCAAAACGUGUGCCAGAAGCCAGUCACUGAGGUUGGGAGGUGGCCGCAUCGGGCUGGCAGGUGGAGAGGGGACCUAGAGCUCAGAGAGCGUGCAUUUGGGGUCAUCAGCCACAGGGAGUUAACACUUAGAGGGUGAAAAAAGAAAAAAACACUUAGAGGGUGGAUGAGUCUGUGGACAGGGGUGAUGAGUAUAGGAAUAACCAAAACACCUCAUUUUAAGGUCCAUCCUUUGUUCAAGAGAUGCUGGGUUUUCUCUGCCAGGUCACUGUUCAGUGAUUAGGAAGUGCAAAUGUGAUGAUUGUCACAUACAAACCUGGAAACAACUUUAAAGUCCCAGUUAAGAGGACAGCCAGAGGUCACGCCUCAGCACCUUCCAAGCUUUGACAGAUGUGCUGGGGAAGCUUCCCUGACCCCCACCCCACCCCCAAGGCCCGAUGGAUGCCUCCUCCAUCUGCUCGACAUGCACCUCCUCGAUUUCAGGCCUUCCUCUGCUCAGUAUACUCAGUCCCCCGAGUGCUGGAACAGUCAUUGGCGCCGGGAAGGGAGUCAUGAAUGAAUGAAUGAAUGAAUGAAUGAAUGAAUGAAUGAAUAAAUAAAUUUAAUCACCAAUCUUUCUACUAAAC
ensembl:lncRNA